CCUACGGGAGGCAGCAGUGGGGAAUUUUGGACAAUGGGCGCAAGCCUGAUCCAGCAAUGCCGCGUGAGUGAAGAAGGCCUUCGGGUUGUAAAGCUCUUUUGUCAGGGAAGAAACGGCCUGUUCUAAUACAGUGGGUUAAUGACGGUACCUGAAGAAUAAGCACCGGCUAACUACGUGCCAGCAGCCGCGGUAAUACGUAGGGUGCAAGCGUUAAUCGGAAUUACUGGGCGUAAAGCGUGCGCAGGCGGUUUUGUAAGUCUGUCGUGAAAUCCCCGGGCUCAACCUGGGAAUGGCGAUGGAGACUGCAAGGCUAGAGUUUGGCAGAGGGGGGUAGAAUUCCACGUGUAGCAGUGAAAUGCGUAGAUAUGUGGAGGAACACCGAUGGCGAGGGCAGCCCCCUGGGUCAAAACUGACGCUCAUGCACGAAAGCGUGGGGAGCAAACAGGAUUAGAUACCCUGGUAGUCCACGCCCUAAACGAUGUCUACUAGUUGUCGGGUCUUAAUUGACUUGGUAACGCAGCUAACGCGUGAAGUAGACCGCCUGGGGAGUACGGUCGCAAGAUUAAACUUCAAAGUAUUAGUUGCGNGNGNGNGCGACGACGACGACGAGGAGGAGG
rnacentral:rRNA from 1 species